GGUCAGCUGAAGUUAGCAGUGUACGAGAAUUUCGGCCUUCUUACCAUACACAUUAUCGAGGCAAGGAAGUUAAAGUCACGGUAUUCUAGUGUGUGUAAUCCGUAUGUCAAGAUCUCGCUCGUACCGGACUGUGUCGAGAGGACCUUCUGCCGCACCCGCUCAUCCGGGCCACCAACGCCCCAGACUUCGACCAGAAAUUCAGCUUCGAUUUCCUGCCUGAAGACCUCGACAAGCGGCUCCUCAUUUCGGUGUGGAGUCGGGAUACGCUGAGGAAAAGGAGUGAAUUUCUCGGCUGUAUGUCCUUCAGUGUCGCCCAUAUAUCCAAUAAG